rnacentral:rRNA from 1 species
GACGAACGCUGGCGGCGUGCCUAAUACAUGCAAGUCGAACGGUCUUUUCUAUGGAAGCUUGCUUCCACUGAGAAGAUAGUGGCGAACGGGUGAGUAACACGUGGGUAACCUGCCCAUAAGAGGGGGAUAACAUCCGGAAACGGGUGCUAAUACCGCAUAGUUUUCUUGAUCGCAUGAUUGAGAAAGGAAGGACGGCCUUUGUGCUGUCGCUUAUGGAUGGACCCGCGGCGUAUUAGUUAGUUGGUGAGGUAACGGCUCACCAAGACGAUGAUACGUAGCCGACCUGAGAGGGUGAUCGGCCACAUUGGGACUGUGACACGGCCCAAACUCCUACGGGAGGCAGCAGUAGGGAAUCUUCCGCAAUGGACGAAAGUCUGACGGAGCAACGCCGCGUGAGUGAAGAAGGUUUUCGGAUCGUAAAACUCUGUUGUCAGAGAAGAACAAGUCGGAGAGUAACUGCUCCGGCCUUGACGGUAUCUGACCAGAAAGCCACAGCUAACUACGUGCCAGCCGCCGCGGUAAUAC